rnacentral:SRP_RNA from 1 species
CGUGAGGGUCAUAUGACCAGCUCCCUCCGAACUCCCCCAGGGUGGAAACACAGCAAGGGUAGGAGGUCGUAGCGGUACGAUAUGAUUCCUCACGUUU